GCUCCUUGGUCAAGCGGUUAAGACAUCGCCCUUUCACGGCGGUAACACGAGUUCGAUUCUCGUAGGAGUCA
rnacentral:tRNA from 1 species